rnacentral:tRNA from 1 species
AUUGUCUUAGUUCAGUUGGUCGAGCAUCAGAGUACAGAUCCGGAGGUCGUGGGUUCAAAUUCCGCAAGCAGUC